AUGGCCACCGCCGUCGGCGUCUUCCGCUCUUUCCUUCACCCCACCGCCACUGCCGCCGCCAUCCCACUCCCUACUUCUGACUUCAACCUCAACAACUUCCAGUGGCACUACGUCGAGCUCCGCCUAUUCUCCUCCUCCCACCGUCACCACCCCAUUCUCCUGCCCACCUCCGCCUCCGCCGCUUCCGGCGAAGAGUUCUCUUCUAACGGAGAAUAUUACUCUGAGGAGGAUCUAGAGGAGUACGUGAACAAAGAUGGAGAGGGGGCAGAACCCGAGGUCCAGGCAGUUCGCAGUUACUAUCCACCGAGAAAUCAGCCGGCACUUGGACAAGAGCCCGGCCGAAUCUACGUCGGCAACCUACCUUACACCUUCAUCGCCCGCUGA
rnacentral:rRNA from 1 species